UACAGAGGUCUCAAGCGUUGUUCGGAUUCAUUGGGCGUAAAGGGUGUGUAGGUGGCGCCGUGAAGUCGGGUGUGAAAUUUCGGAAGCUUAACUCCGAAACUGCAUUCGAUACUGCGGUGCUUGAGGACUGGAGAGGAGACUGGAAUUCAUGGUGUAGCAGUGAAAUGCGUAGAGAUCAUGAGGAAGACCAGUGGCGAAGGCGGGUCUCUGGACAGUUCCUGACAGCUGAGAACACGAAGGCCCAGGGGAGCAAACGGG
rnacentral:rRNA from 1 species